CCUACGUGGUGCAGCAGUGGGGAAUAUUGCACAAUGGGGGAAACCCUGAUGCAGCGACGCCGCGUGAGUGAAGAAGUAUCUCGGUACGUAACGCUCUAUCAGCAGGGAAGAUAAUGACGGUACCUGACCAAGAAGCCCCGUCUAACUACGUGCCAGCAGCCGCGGGAAUACGUAGGGGGCAAGCGUUAUCCGGAUUUAAUGGGUGUAAAGGGAGCGUAGACGGCAGCACAAGUCUGGAGUGAAAUCCCGGGGCUUAACCCCGGAACUGUUUUGGAAACUGUGCGGCUGGAGUGCAGGAGGGGUAAGCGGAAUUCCUAGUGUAGCGGUGAAAUGCGUAGAGAUUAGGAGGAACACCAGUGGCGAAAGCGGCUCUCUGGUCUGUAACUGACGCUGAGGUUCGAAAGCGUGGGUAGCAAACAGGAUUAGAUACCCCAGUAGUC
rnacentral:rRNA from 1 species